rnacentral:rRNA from 1 species
GAGUAAUGCCUAGGAAUCUGCCUGGUAGUGGGGGAUAACGUCCGGAAACGGGCGCUAAUACCGCAUACGUCCUGAGGGAGAAAGUGGGGGAUCUUCGGACCUCACGCUAUCAGAUGAGCCUAGGUCGGAUUAGCUAGUUGGUGGGGUAAAGGCCUACCAAGGCGACGAUCCGUAACUGGUCUGAGAGGAUGAUCAGUCACACUGGAACUGAGACACGGUCCAGACUCCUACGGGAGGCAGCAGUGGGGAAUAUUGGACAAUGGGCGAAAGCCUGAUCCAGCCAUGCCGCGUGUGUGAAGAAGGUCUUCGGAUUGUAAAGCACUUUAAGUUGGGAGGAAGGGCAGUAAGUUAAUACCUUGCUGUUUUGACGUUACCAACAGAAUAAGCACCGGCUAACUUCGUGCCAGCAGCCGCGGUAAUACGAAGGGUGCAAGCGUUAAUCGGAAUUACUGGGCGUAAAGCGCGCGUAGGUGGUUCAGCAAGUUGGAUGUGAAAUCCCCGGGCUCAACCUGGGAACUGCAUCCA